rnacentral:rRNA from 1 species
UGCCUACGGGGGGCAGCAGUGAGGAAUAUUGGUCAAUGGGCGGGAGCCUGAACCAGCCAAGUCGCGUGAGGGACGACGGUCCUAUGGAUUGUAAACCUCUUUUGUCGGGGAACAAAGGCGCCCACGGGUGGGCGGAUGAGUGUACCCGGAGAAAAAGCAUCGGCUAACUCCGUGCCAGCAGCCGCGGUAAUACGGAGGAUGCGAGCGUUAUCCGGAUUUAUUGGGUUUAAAGGGUGCGCAGGCGGCGAGUUAAGUCAGCGGUAAAAUUUCGGGGCUCAACCCCGACGAGCCGUUGAAACUGGCUU